UCCUCUUGUAAAAUAACUAGCUACAGAUUUAACUCAAUCAUUACAUGAAUGGGAACUAAGCAGCAUCGCACAGAGCACAGUCUAUGUUAUAAAACCAGAACAUAUUUUUGGCAAGAGUUAAUUAGUGCAGUAUUACCUAUGUAGGCCUUUGAACAUGCCUUCCAGGUUUUUAUAUAUCGAUCUAUGAAGGAGGACACUAAAACAGGUUUUAGUUGGAAGAAUACUUUUUCAAAAGCUCCCUGACAGCAUAUUAAGCCUUUAUUUGACUUUGGAAUUGGACAAUGAACAACAUUUGGCACAACCCAGAGUGAGGCUCCGAAUGAGGACAAUCCAGGCGUCAGCCCCUCUGAGGUUGAGAAUUGUGAUGAACGGCAUCCUCACCAACCUCUAACGAUCUCACAACAAUGUGAAGAAAACCCAUUUGCUUUCAAUAUAGAAGUGUAUUAUGAAAAUCUGCACUUUCCUCGGAAGAGGUGUACUCCAUUUAACAUCCCAGCCAUAAUUCAGAACAACCAUAUGGAGUCAACCAUGCUUGAAAACAGCAACUGGGGUGGCUGCUGUGAAUAUACCUCCUCAUCUAGGCUUCAUCGCAUUAGAACCAUCUCCAGACUGUGUCCAGGCAGCUCGACCUCAUAACGAAGGCUCUUCGUCACAGCAUUCACCUCAACACCAGCUAUGUUGAUGAUGGUGUUGCCCAUCUUCCCCAUCAUCCCCCGUGUAUUUAUACCUGUGUUCUGUCUGUCUGUUGCCAGUUCGUCUUGUUUGUCAAGCCUGCCAGCGUUUUUCGUCUCAUCUACUGCUUCUCCCCAGUCUCUGAUUUUGACCCUUGCCUGUCCCAUCUCCGAGCCCGCCUGCCUGACCACUCUGCCUGCCCCUGAGCCUGCCUGCCGUCCUGUACCUUUGCCCCACCUCUGGAUUACCAACCUCUGCCUGACCUGACCCUGAGCCUGCCUGCCGUCCUGUACCUUUCCUCCACUACUCUGGUUAUCGACCCCUGCCUGCCUUGACCUGUCGUUUGCCUGCCCUGUGGCCGUAAUAAACAUUGUUACUUCGACCGUCUGUAUCUGGGUCUUACCUUGGUUCCUGAUAAAAACACCAAGAGUGCUUUGGUGGUGGGUCAUUCCUACGUUGCGGUGCCUUUUGGACCACAUACAUUUUGUGAAAAAAAGUAUAUAUUUUUCAUUUGUUUUGAAUUCGAUCAGAAAAAAGACGUUUGACUUUCAGAAAAAGCUCAGGCACUUAAAUCCUAAUAAAUAUGGGCAUGUUGUUCACACAUGGACCAUGGAAUAUUUCCACCUGUUAGGGACAAACACAUAACUGUCUGAAAGUGCUAUCAAUGCAUGUAUAUACAUAGAUUUAGAUGUUCUAAGACAUCAGAUGUGCCUUACUCUAUUGCUUUAAUUUACUUCCUUCAAAUAAUUAUAUAUUUGAAAAAAAAAAAUGUUUAACUAGGCAAGUUAUUUAACUAGCAACUAAAUCAAUGAUUAUUGAGAGAAACGUGUGUUAUUUUCAGAACCAAAGCUUCAUUUGCGCCACAUUCUUCCUAAUAAGAGUGAAUAACAACAGAAUUUGGUCACCAUUUUUGCAUUUGUAAUUGAUCCCAUCUAUCUCUACAAGUUACCACAAAGAUAUACAUAACAGUUGAUGGAAUUGUUCAAUUAUGAUUUUUAAAACACUGACCUAACAGGGUGGAAUGAAGCAUAACAGGGUGGAACUAACACCAGUAAUGAGCAAAAUAUUUAAACAAUUAAAGAUAUUUUAUGAACUUUGACAUCUGUGAAAUGUAAAAAAAAAUAUGUUUUUAAUUUAAUUUCACUUCAUCUUUUUAAAACAUUGUCAACCUAAGUUUGUUAAACAACUGAAAAAGAGAUUUUUAAAACACGAGUACUGCAUUAGAAAAACAAAGCAAGAUGUAAAACAAUUAGAUUGUUUUGAAAAUCAUUGUUGGUUCAAGUUUAAUAACACUAAUCAGGCAUUUUAUGAUAAACAGUCCUACUCAUUUUGCUCUUAAUAAUUCUGGGCUCACGGUUCACGCUUAAUAAAAUGGUUAUUCAAAAAGUUUAUAAAAUAUGUUAUACAUAUAAGGAUACAUGAACCUUUAAUAAGUGCCGUCAUGUGGGCUUGGCCAGAAUGAUUUGUUUAUUCCAUUACGGUGCAUGCACUUGACCUGGAUGUUAUCCUUCUCCACAUCUGUUAUGAUUCCUGGGUAUGGCUCAUCGUCGUAGGACACCUCACACUAAUGACCAAUAUGCUGAGAGUGAAUGGCCUCUGGUCGCCACAGUGUUUCAAUGGUGCACACAGAUCUUGGCGCCUCGGCAGCUUCUAGAGUUGAUCUUGGAGCCUUAGGAGCUUCUAGAGUUGAUAUUGGAGCCUCAGCAGCUUCUAGAGUUGAUAUUGGAGACUCAAUAGCUUCUAGAUUUGAUAUUGGAGUCUCAACAGCUGCUAAAGUUGCUUCUUUUAACUCAAAGCAGGGACAGGCCAUGACCCCCUCAUCUAUUUUGGCAGGAACUGUCACGUUCUGACCUUUAUUUCCUUUGUUUUGUAUUUAUUUAGUAUGGUCAGGGCAUGAGUUGGGUGGGCAGUCUAUGUUUAAUUUUCU